GGGAAACGAGGAGGACACCAGAUGGCCAAAACACUUAGUGCUCUUCGUUGAAGAUACCUUUCGAAUAAGUCUCUAAGUGCAGCAUGAAAGAAGCGGUGACUAAUUGAGGCCUGACGAGCCAAGUUCAGUUUAAAAGAAGUGAUUAAUAAUGAAUCAGCCAAUAACCGACUGCCUCAGAACCAGUCACCGAGGGCGCUAUUUGAUUAGAAAUGAAAAACGCACAAUACAAUACAUAGGUGAAGUGAUGUAUUGUAUUGUAUGUUACAGUAAUUCGGGUAGCGUCCUGCUAACAGAAGUGGUUGGCACGCGGCGAGCGGUGAGCAGUGAGGGCCAGGAAACAGUUGAUGACGAUGGAUUAGGGCUGGCCCAGUGGAAUGGAGCCGACCGAGGAGUUCUACAUACCAAGAGUCUGAUGCCCGCUGAGAAACAUCCUAAAAGAGCUCCUAAGAGAACGGCCUGGACUCUCAUGGGGUGAGGACGAGGGGGGUGGUAAGCCUCAGGCAGGCCUCACCAAGAGCAAGGUACGGAUUUAAGAUGAUCCCAAAUCCACAUUCAUGUUUAAACAAGGAUCUGGAGUCACAUCAUUUACACUGAUAAAGUCUGAGCGAGUCAAACAUCACAUCUGUCCAUUUAUUUCUCCUCUUAAGCCAAUGCCCAUCGCAAUUAGUUUUAGGCGAGAUGUGUGGAUUCCCCCCGGACUGCCCAAUCAGUCUCAAAACCCUGAUAGACAGAACGACCAUCCACAAUCACGUUUGAACCUUUGGACAAUUUAAAGCGUUCAAUGAAAAUAACACACAUGCUUUUGGAAUCCUGGAGGAACUCAGAGUGCCAGUAGAAAAUCCACGGAACCACAGGGAGAACCUGCGAGCUCCACAGUGCUACAUGUAGACCAAAGCCAAGAUAGUGCUUCUCCAAACAAUAUCAAUUCAUCAAUCAAAUGCAGUGUGUGCAAAAUUGAGCCUGCAAGCCUGGGUCACAAUUUGUUUUUCUCCUGUCGUUCAGUUCAAAGGUGUUUGAUGUUUUUGUUUUUCUGCCCACACCAGACAAAUCCAGUCAUACAUUUAUGACUGUGCUUUGUUCACUGGGGUAGCGUUAUUCAAGAAAAGAAAAAGGUUGGGAGCAUAGGAUUAUCCAAAAUGCAUUAUUGAAAUGAAGAAUUUAACAUUCUGGGGCAAACUAAGAAGUCGUGUCCAACUCGUUAAUAUUUCACAAACUGAUUUGAAUUUUGGCGGCACAAUAGCUCAGCUGGUAAACCGUUGUCUCUCACAGUUCUGAGAUCUUGGGUUCAAUCCUGGAGCCGCCUGUGUGCCAUUUGCAUGUUCUCCCCGUGUCUGCGUGGGUUUCCUCCAGGCACUCCGGUUUCCUCCCACAUCCCAAAAACAUGCAACAUUAAUUGGGCACUCUAAAUUGCCCCUAGGAGUGAUUGUGAGUGUGUCUAUUUGUCUCUAUGUGCCCUGCAAUUGGCUGGCAAUCAGUUCAGGGUGUACCCCGCCUCCUCCCUGUUGACAGCUGGGAUAGGCUCCAGUACUCCCCGUGACCCUCCUGAGGAUAAGCAGAGAAGAAAAUGGAUGGAUUUGGAUUUUGUUAUACUUUCAGCAUAAUUAAUUAACUUAUUUUUAACUUACUUUUGCUACGACAAUUUAAGAAAAAAGACCAAUGUGGUUGUGAUUUUUUUUUCCUGAAAACAUUCAAAUAUAGACAGCAAUGCUAUUCAAAGCACUUGUGGAAAAUCAUGGCACAAAAUUCCAUUAAUGUAAUUGGGGAAAAAAUUCAGUACAAAUAAAAGACCAGAAAUCAAAAUGAAAUAAAUAUAAUAAAUGGUUAGUAGUGGGGGAGACACGGUGGGUCAGAUGGAAAGCAUUGGCCUCACAGUUCUGAAGUCCCGGGUUCAAUCCCGGACCCACCUGUGUGGAGUUUGCAUGUUCUCCCCGUGCCUGCGUGGCUUUCCUCUAGACACUCCGGUUUCCUCCCACAUCCCAAAAACACGCAACAUUAAUUGGACACUCUAAAUUGCCCCUAGGUAUGAUUGUGAGUGCGGCUGCUAUCUGUCUCCAUGUGCCCUGCGAUUGGCUGGCAACCGGUUCAGGGUGUACUCUGCCUCCUGCCCGUUGACUGCUGGGAUAGGCUCCAGCACUCCCCGCAACCCUUGUGAGGAUAAGCGGGUUAGAAAAUGGAUGGAUAUGGAUGGAUGGACGGUUCGUCGUGGUUAGCACAUCUGCCUCACAGCUUUGAAAUUCAGGGUUCAAAUCUCAGCCACAGCCUUCCUAUGUGGAGUUUGUGUGUUCUCCCUAUACUGUUUGUGUAUGCUUGUGUGGGUUUUCUCCUCCCACAACACAAAACCAAGUUGUCCAAACAUAUGAAUGAGAGUCUAAAUGGAUAUUAUUGGAAGGGGGUUUAUUCUGACGUAGACACUUUAUAUCAAAAUGGACCUCUGUUAUUAUUUCAUGUUCGGGCAACUAGAGGAAUUGUAAUGGCAAAAAAAAGGGGGGGGGGGUGAUGAGACCGGGGUGAUGUCCUGAAGUCCUUUUACUUCCUCUUCUGUCUCUCUCUUAUGUUGCCUUAUUUGACACCACAACUACCAAAUGCGGAGAAAGGAAUCAAUAAGCAUGUGGUAUGGGCCAGUACAUUAUAAUCUAAGGCCCUUCCCUGGAACGAACAUCCAAGUGUUUCAUGUCUGCAGGCCCUCAGAGGACUGCAAAGGACAAGGUGAUGGCAGAGGAUCACAGUGGGUGUUUCCUAUGAAAUACAGCUGCUUCUCCUACACUUAGGCUGUUAGGUUUGCUGAAAUGAGCGCACAAACCUCUUAUCAAUUCCCCUUCUGUGCACUUGAGCCCAUAUAGAAACAAAAGAGUGGGAACACUGUUUAUGCUGCACUGUUGAAGUGGAAUCCGCGCAUGGAGAAUUCCCUGACACGAAGCCCAUUUAAAGAUAAAUACAGACUGUUUAUUGACACUGAAAAAAGCUCCGGGGUUCAUUAGAGCACCAAAACAAGACUUGAAUAAUAGUAGAAAAAAUAUUUACAGUGCUGAAGGGGUAUGCUGUCAUGGUGCGAUACAUUCAUGCAUGUUUAGCCCAGUCGUGUUUAUUGAACGGCUGUAUGACGUAAUGUUCCAGUUUCUGGUGAUGCAGUGUGUUUAUGUUGCUUUAACGGACACGCUUUUGGCACUUGGCCUCUCCAUCAACUCAAACUUUCUUCCGCUUACUCUUAAAGAUGAUCGUAAGUGUUCUGACCACGUUAUGAAUAUUGAAUGAAUGUUGGGUAGCUGUAUAGAUCUUGAUGCUGUUACAGCUUCGUAUGAAAUAUGACAUAAACAGUAGCUGUGGAAAAAUACAAAAGGGGUAUUUGUAUUCAAAUAAUGGCAUCAGCAAGUUUUGUGAUUUGCAAUACAUUGUAUUUUGCUGCCCUCUACUGGCAGGUGUCUUGAGGAAUAAAGCUGAUUGAGAUUCUGAUUCAAGGUGAAUUAUUUAGUCAACAUAAUAAAAUUGAAGGGACGUAUAUUCAUUUGUAUUUUUCCCUGACGUUAUUGAAUCAAAACUACGUUUUAUCCCUGCUCAGUGUUAUAACUGCUGUAUAGGUCAGUUGUGACAUUAUGCACGCAAACUUCAGUUUAUGAUCACGACACUUUAACCAUUCGUCACAAUAAAACACUGCUCCGGGUGACUAUCAGCAACAAAAGUGGUUACAGGCUGCAGUAAUUUUACUUUCACUCUGUGGAGACCUUUUGCCCCCUUUAACUUGAAUCAAACUUUAAUUACUUCCUCCACUGCGGGAACAAAUCACACCUUUUGUUUAGGAAUCAUGAACCGUAGUAAACCUUUCAUAUGAUUUGCAAGUUCAAAAACUCCAAAUACAAGACCCAGACAAAAAUAACAUAUGCCGACACACAGAUAAUAUUUGACAAGACUUUGUAAUCCCAUUCCAAUUAAAAUGUAAUUGUUUUCUCAAUCUAUUUUACAAAUCCGGAAAGAAAUUGAAUAGUGUAUAUUGAAAAAAAAGUCUCCACAGUCAUAUUCAAAAGUAUUUUUUUAUUUCUAAAAAAAUUAGACCAAAUUAAAAAGAGAGCAUUUCAAUACUUGCUCCUCCAUUAAUAUGAUCUAUCACAGGGGUCACCAACGUGGUGCCCAUGGGCGCAUGCUAGCCCCGAGGACAAUCUAAGGCGCCCGCGAGGCAUGUUCUACAAAUACCACAGCUUUAAAAUUUGAAUCUGACUUGCUUAUGUUAUUUAAAUUUUUAAAAUACCUGUAAUGUCACAUCAUACAAAAAAUUAAAACAAAAAUAUUUUAUGUAUGUAUAAUGAACUAUGACUGAAGUUUGCUGCAACAAGUCGUGUAGCCCUUCCUACAAUCAGUUCUCCCCUAGUAGCCCUCAGGCUCAAAAAGGUUGAUGACCCCUGAUCUAUCAUCUGUUAAACUCAAUUGAAAAUUGUUUUUUUAAUUUUUUUGCAAGGGAAUGUCAAAAUAAGAAACUUGAAUGGUGUGGUUGCACAAAUGUGCACACCCUCUUGUUCAGCUGUGAUAAGGCUGUGUUCAGAAUAAAGCAAUCGAAUUCAAUUCAGUGCCUUUGAUUAACCCUAAAAAAAAUCAGCCAUUCUAGUAGUUUUUUCUUGACUCAUUUGUGUGUGUGUAAACACUGACUGGCAUUUUAAAGUGUUCAUAAUUCCUUCCACCUUGUAGUUUUCAUGAAAACCUGCAAUUUGAACAGGGGUGUGUAAACCUUUUAUCGUCAUCGUAUCGUGGUACCAUCACUUUUUGUUACUGCAAUAAAAAUCACUGAUUCUGCUGCUUCAUAGUGAUGCCUGUGACAUUUGUUUAAAAGCAAGCUGUCAGUUUCUUUCUUUCAAGCUCUGUUCUUUAACUCUGAGGUUAUAAUUGUGGUUGUAGUCUACAGUGUUGCAGAGCUGCACUGCAUCAUACUGAAAGUUGUUUUGAAUAUUUGUAUACACAUCUCCCAGUAUCAUGCGGUGUAGUUCGCAACCACUGCAAACUACGACUAAGAAACACAGUGUUGUGAAAAAGUACUAUUUCUCAAAUUCUUUUCUUUUAUUUCCAUAGUUUCCCACGUUUAUUAAGCUCACUCAAAAAUACAAAUAUCAGACAACGACAACCCGAAUACAGUACAUAUAAACAUAAAAUGUAUUUUCUUUAAGUUCUCCUUAUAUUUAUGAAGGGGAAAAAACUUCAAAACUACGUGGCACUGUGUGAGAAGAUAUUUGCCCCUUAAACUUUAAUUACUGGUUGGGCCACUUUCAGGAGAAACAACUGAAAUUAAGUAUCUUCUGGACGUUGAUUAGAACACUCCAAAACCUGCAAAACUGUUUUUUUUUCCUCCCAAGCCAUUCAGAAGUUGACUUGGUGGUGUGUUUUGGAUCCUUCUCCUGCUUCAGAACCCGCAUUUACAUCACUUUGAGGUCUCAAAUUGAUGGCCAAAAAUUCUCCUUCAGGAGUUUCCGGUCAACGGAAGAAUUCAAGGUUCCAUCAAUCACAGCAAGUUGUCCAGGCCCUGAAGAACUAGGGAAGCCCCAAACCAUUAAACUACCACCACCGUGUCUAACUGUUGCUAACAUAUCCGGUGUGGUCAGUGAAAAUGAACUCAACUUUGAAAGGAAUUUUAAUUUUUAUGUCAUGAUUUAAUAAUGAGGGCAAUUAUUUUUUUCUUUUAAUUUAAUAAAAUCACUACUUAAAAAAUACAUUUAAAGAUUGUCUUGUUAUCUUUUGUAUUUACAUUUAUUUGCUCUUAAGUAUUAAAGUGGGGAAUACAUUUAUGCAAAACAAUGCGAAUUUGAGAAGGG